UCUCAUUCUACCUGCAUCUCUAGGCACUUAUAAGAUAAGACGUAAAGAGGUAACAGUUCCUCAUUCACUAUAAAGCAUUACAUGUUGAAUGGAGUCUGCUGGAAUGAUCUGUCCUCAGACCUGUCCUCAGCUGCUACAAGCAUCCUCUACUGCUGCAUGUCUACAUCAGUAACUGGGAUUUCAGCACCCCAAUUGCUACCCCGAAGAGUCAGCAGUCAGCAAUAACUACAACUCUUUUGUGCAAGCUGCCAGAUUGGAUCCUCAGAAGGGGCACACACAGGACAUGAGACUUCACAACCUGCUAAGAAUGAGCUUUCAGGACCUAACUAACUAGGAAUAAACCAUCCUAACCAUGAGAGAUCAGAUGAAACUUGAGACCAGAGAUUCAUUUUCUUCUAAAAUGCUUUCUCCAAAUGAUUUUAAAAAAGAAAAGUGGGGAAAUGUGAAAGGAAAAUAUCUUGGGCUCCUUCUAGCUGGGAACUGUUCAGGGCAAACCUGCCUCCCAUUCUAUUCAAAGUCAUCCCUCUGCUCACAGAGAUAGAUGCAUAUUCCGAUUGCCUCCUUUGGAAGUCUCAUCAGAAACUCAAAAGAAUGCAACCAUUUGUCUCUCACCUAUCUGUGACCUGGAAGCCCCUGAAGGGGGGCCCCACUUUGAGUGGUCCUGCCUUUCUAGAUGGAAUUAAAGUACUUCUUACAUAUAUUGAUUGAUGUCUCAUGUCUCCCUAAAAUGUAUAAAAUCAAGUUGUGCCCUGACCACCCUGGGCACAUGUCAUCAGGACCUCCUGAGGCUGUGUCAUGGGCACAUCCUCAACCUUGGCAAAAUAAACUCUCUGAAUUAACU
rnacentral:lncRNA from 10 species